rnacentral:rRNA from 1 species
AGCGAACGUUUGCGGCGGGCCUAACACAUGCAAGUCGAACGAGAACUUUCUCUUCGGAGAAAGGGACAGUGGCGCACGGGUGCGUAACACGUGGGUAAUCAACCCUUUGGACUGGGACAACCCGGGGAAACUCGGGCUAAUACCGGAUACGUCGCGGAGAACUUCGGUUCUCUUCGGGAAAGGCCCGCAAGGGCUACCAAUGGACGAGCUCGCGGCCCAUCAGCUAGUUGGUGAGGUAAUGGCUCACCAAGGCUUAGACGGGUAGCUGGUCUGAGAGGAUGAUCAGCCACACUGGAACUGAGACACGGUCCAG